GUGAGGAAUAUUGGUCAAUGGGCGAGAGCCUGAGCCAGCCAAGUCGCGUGAAGGAAGAAGGAUCUAUGGUUCGUAAACUUCUUUUGCAGGGGAAUAAAGUGCGGGACGUGUCCUGUUUUGUAUGUACCCUGAGAAUAAGGAUCGGCUAACUCCGUGCCAGCAGCCGCGGUAAUACGGAGGAUCCGAGCGUUAUCCGGAUUUAUUGGGUUUAAAGGGUGCGUAGGUGGUUUGAUAAGUCAGCGGUGAAAGUUUGCAGCUUAACUGUAAAAAUGCCGUUGAAACUGUCGGACUUGAGUGUAAAUGAGGUAGGCGGAAUGCGUGGUGUAGCGGUGAAAUGCAUAGAUAUCACGCAGAACUCCGAUUGCGAAGGCAGCUUACUAAGCUACAACUGACACUGAAGCACGAAAGCGUGGGGAUCAAACAGGAUUAGAUACCCCGGUAGUCC
rnacentral:rRNA from 1 species